GUUAGACAGUACAGAGUCAGGUCAUUAAGGAGCAGGUAGGGGUUAGACAGUACAGAGACAGGUCAUUAAGGAGCAGGUACGGGUUAGACAGUACAGAGACAGGUCAUUAAGGAGCAGGUAGGGGUUAGACAGUACAGAUACAGGUCAUUAAGGAGCAGGUAGGGGUUAGACAGUACAGAGACAGGUCAUUAAGGAGCAGGUAGGGGUUAGACAGUACAGAGACAGGUCAUUAAGGAGCAGGUAGGGGUUAGACAGUACAGAGACAGGUCAUUAAGCAGCAGGUAGGGGUUAGACAGUAGAGAGACAGGUCAUUAGGGAGCAGGUAGGGGUUAGACAGUACAGUGACAGGUCAUUAAGGAGCAGGUAGGGGUUAGACAGUAUAGAGACAGGUCAUUAAGGAGCAGGUAGGGGUUAGACAGUACAGAGACGGGUCAUUAAGGAGCAGGUAGGGGUUGGACAGUACAGAGACAGGUCAUUAAGGAGAGGGUAGGGGUUAGACAGUACAGAAACAGGUCAUUAAGGAGCAGGAAGGGGUUAGACAGUACAGAGACAGGUCAUUAAGGAGCUGGUAGGGGUUAGACAGUAUAAAGACAGGUCAUUAAGGAGCAGGUAGGGGUUAGACAGUAUAGAGACAGGUCAUUAAGGAGCAGGUAGGGGUUAGACAGUACAGAGACAGGUCAUUACGGAGCAGGUAGGGGUUAGACAGUACAGAGACAGGUCAUUAAGGAGCAGGUAGGGGUUAGACAGUACAGAGACAGGUCAUUAAGGAGCAGGUAGGGGUUAGACAGUACAGAGACAGGUCAUUAAGGAGCAGGUAGGGGUUAGACAGUAGAGACAGGUCAUUAAGGAGCAGGUAGGGGUUAGACAGUACAGAGACAGGUCAUUACGGAGCAGGUAGGGGUGGGACAGAUUUGAGCUAAUUUGACAUUAAAGACAUUGAGAGCCCAGUGCCUCCAAACCAAGGCUGACAUCUUGUUAUCCAGGUGAUUUAGUUAAGCUUUGUUUCCCUAGUAGAGCCACGGCGCUCCAGACAGCCCUCCCCAUGCAUCACUACAGGGCGGCUAAACGUACACUUUGUACUUUGUGGCGUUCUGCAGACGAAGGCUAGAAGCCUGACACCUUUACAUGCCUUCUUGUGUACGUGCGAUCAUGUCAAGGGCUUACGUGAUUUUCAAAAGGUCACAAAAAGGAAUCAAACCUUUAUCACCUGUUGUUUGGUCCACCCUGCCUUCCACCGGUAUGUACACCCCUUCAUUACCUCUCUCUCUCUCUCUCUCUCUCUCUCUCUCUCUCUCUCUCUCUCUCUCUCCCUCUCUCCCUCUCUCUCUCUCUCC
ensembl:lncRNA